rnacentral:misc_RNA from 1 species
GAUGAAGAACGCAGCGAAAUGCGAUACGUAAUGUGAAUUGCAGAAUUCAGUGAAUCAUCGAAUCUUUGAACGCAUAUUGCGCUCUCUGGUAUUCCGGAGAGCAUGCUUGUUUGAGUAUCAGUAAACACCUCAACUCCCUUUUCUUUUUUGAAAUGGGAGCUGGACUUGAGUGAUCCCAACACUUUUCUCACUGGAAAGUGGCGGGUCACUUGAAAUGCAGGUGCAGCUGGACUUUUCUCUGAGCUAUAAGCAUAUCUAUUUAGUCUGCCUAAAAAACAGAUUAUUACCUUUGCUGCAGCUAACAUAAAGGAGAUGAGUUCUUGUGCUGACUGAUGCAGGAUUCACAGAGACAGCUUUGCGGCUGACUUUGUAAACUCGAUCUCAAAUCAAGUAAGACUACCCGCUGAACUUAAGCAUAUCAAUAAAGCGGAGGA